GACAGAUUCAUUUUUCUUUGGUGAAUCACAAUUGAUUAAAGCUGAAUUGGACAAUGCUCAUGCUGAAGAGACCAUUAAAGAGGAGCAACCACCACCAUUUGUACCACCAUUUGUACCCCCAUGUAUAAGUAUAGGUGUCUCGCACUUAUUUGAAACAUAUCAGGUAUUCAUUGAACAGAUUUUUGCAUGUUUUUAAAAGUAUUAUAUAUCAUGCCUUAUGUCUUGUUUAUGUUUUGUUUAUGCCUUAUGCCUUGUUUAUCAUUAAACAACUUUUCCCUACACGUGUUGAUCUUCUCAAUUGGGUUCACAAAAUUGCGAAUAUAAAUGGAUAUGUUGUGGUGAUCACAAAGUCAGAUAGUGGUGCGAUGGGAAGAAAAGAAUAUGUUAUGUUGGGGUGGGAGAAGCAUGGUAUGUAUGUUCCCUACAGAGACCCUGAUCUUGUUGAAGGAACGAGAACACAAAAGAUAGGUUGUCCUUUUAGACUAAUAGUACGACCUAGGAAAAAUGGUAGAGAUUGGUGGCUGAAGGUGAUGGAUAGUAUACACAACCAUGACCCAGCUAGGUCACUACUUGGCAACAAUUAUGUUGGUCGACUAACUAGAGACGAGAAGGGGGAAGUGAUAAAAAUGGCUUAGGGUUGGGUUGCACCGAGAAAUAUGUUGUUGUCUUUGAAGCAAAACAAUCCUUCAAACUUGUCUACCAUAUCUCAAAUUUAUGGUGUUUGCAAGAGGUUUAGAGAAUCCAUUCGCGGGUUAUUGACAGAAAUGCAACACUUGUUGAAGAAGUUGGACGGUGACAAGUAUGUUCACUUUGAAAGAUAUGAACCCGGAUCGGAAGUCAUUAGAGAUGUAUUUUGGGCUCAUCUGAAUCCUAUCAAACUGUUCAACACAUUCCCUUAUGUAGUGAUCAUGGAUUGCACUUACAAGACAAACAAAUAUAAAAUCCCCUUGCUCGAGAUUGUUGGCCUGACUUCCACAGAUAAGACAUACUACAUAGCAUUCUGCUACAUUGUUAAUGAGGGCACAAAUGACUACAUUUGGGCAUUGGAGUGUAUGAAGUUCCUUAUUGUCGACCAAGCCAGAUUGCCUAAAGUGAUUGUGACUGACCGAGAUCUGGCCUUAUUGAGUGCUGCUAAACAAAGUCUUCCAACCGCUACCCAUUUAUUAUGCUUGUGGCACAUUAACAAGUGUGUUUUGGCAAAGUGCAAAUCGUAUGUUGGCACAAAUAAUUUUGCUGAUUUGGUUAUGGAGAAGUGAGCCGACUUGGUAGAUGCUGCAACAGUUGAAGAAUUUGAAGGUCAAUGAAUGGAAUUGUUUAAUAUGUGCAAGGAGAAAUACAACAACUUUACCACUUAUUGUUCUACUACAUGGUUGGUCUACAAGGAGAAAUUUGCCAAGGCAUGGACAAAUCAUGUGAAGCAUUUUGGAACAACAACAAGUAACAGGGCUGAAGGUGCACAUGCCAGCUUGAAGAAGAUGUUGCGGGACAGCAAGGUGACAUUGCCACUUCAUGAGAUGCGUAACAUAGUUUGACCAUGAAUCGACACACUGAAAUAGUAGCAUCGUUUGAGCGUAGUAUUCACAGAAUUGAUCACAUUUUUAAGUCCCAAUUUUACAUAAAUAUUAGAGGAUUUGUGUCAAACAAAUGCCUACAACUCAUUGAUGCUGAACAGACAAGAAUAAAGUCCUACGGCGGAUGCGAUUUCUUAUUGAGAGAGACUCAAGGACUACCUUGCGGUUGUCAACUUGUUAUGAAAGAAUUCCAUAUGAGGCUGUUGGUAAAUCCGCAAGUGUGCGAAUCCACCCGGUUUUAAAUAUCGAACCACAAGGAUUGUGAGUGACUAAAUUCAGUUUAGGCCUUGAGUAUGAAGGUUUGUUUUAUUGAAAAAGAGAUACGCCGAAGUAGUAAUAAGGAAAAAGGAAAAUAAAAAUACAAUUCAGAAAAUAACAUGCUUUGGGUUCUUGUUCAACUAGUCAAUUCAAGAACAUCAUUCUAUGCACAUGUUCUCAUGAAUCUCUCCUUGGUGCUAUAGCCUAAGCAACUUACCUAUCGAUGUCUCGCAUAGAUAAUUCUUUCAAACCAAAAGAUAAGCCCAAUUCCUUGUGUACUUAAACAUUUGUUUGAAGUAUGAAGAUUACAAAGUUCAGGCCAACAAACCCCAACUCUUCCUCUAUUCCUAGUAGCCAAGAUAGAAGGGGUAAUCCCAAAUCGGUUCCCUAAUCUAUAACAAACUUUUGUUCUGAUUAUAGAAAAGCAUAAAGCAAGCAUGCAUACAAGCUUAUUAGAUUGAAAUUCAGAAAAUGAGAUUCAAGGAAAGAAGAAGAUCAUGUAGGAAAGAACUUAAGAUUAUAACUUAAAGAUGAAAAGUCUUACAAGAAAACCAAAGCAAUAGAAGAGAUUAGUCAAGCAUGGCAAGAGUCAUGCUUGGCUAAGAACCUGAAUUACAAGCUUUGAAACCCUCUCUCACUCUCCUAGAUGAUCCUCUACCUCUGAAUUUUAUAAAGUAUGAAAAGGUACAAGAGAAAAUGACUAGAAUCCUAUUUAUAGGCAAAAUUUGCGAUUUUCUGAUUUGCUGGGCGCUCAAAAACCCAUUAAACUUCAUUUUAACUCCAAUUUAUUGCCUCCUUCAAGUCUCCAAGCCUCUAGACCUUCCCUCUUCAGCUGUUACAAUAUGAAAACUUGAUGACAAAGCUAGAGGAAAAUAUCAAGAAACUUAAAGGUCAGUUUUGCACAAAGGGUCCAAAACAAGUGGAAAUUGCUUAAGACUCCUAAACUCUAAUAAAAUGCAACUAAAGUCCCUAUAAAACUACAAAAUUACCAAAACAAAGUAAAAACACAAAGAAAGGUAAAAAUGCAUGAGAAUGCAUGAAACACUACAUGAGACACAAGAAAAAGACUCAAAACCUACAAAGAAAUGACCCUAAAAACAAGACUAAAUCCGGGUCAUCAUAGGCAAUUCAUCCAUUCUGGAAGAGCCUAAGUUGAGAGCAUGUACCUGUUGCAGAUACUGGCAUCUCAAAUAUUUGCGGCAUAAACCAUGGAGAAAUGCAACCAGAAAUUGAGGCAUUGACACUUUAUUUCAAUUCUUUGGAUACUGGAGGCCAAAGUAUGGUAAGGAGGCAGCUUCAGGCGAUCUAUUGUCCUGAAAGCAGUUCACUGUGUACUCCUGAGGUUCGGAUAAAGUCCAAGCGCAGUCUUAAGGCGAAUGAGAGCAAACCACCCAGGGGUUAAACAAUAGGAUCCUUGACUCGUGAUCCUUCAGGGUUUGAACAUGUGGGCAGGGAGAUCAAAGCGGCAAAAAAGGCUUCACAACCAUAAAAGAGGAAGAAGUGUGUGAAGAAGUAUGAUACACGUUAUUUGAUGGGUCAUUUUUCAUCAUUUUUCCACCCAUAUAUACACACAGUUACAAAUGUUGAUGAUGAUGGUAAUUGUGGCUAUAGAGCCAUUGCUGCAUUAGUGGGGCAUCCCUCCGAUGAAGACGCUUGGCCUUGGGUUUGGGCACUUUUAUAGGAGAACUUGAACAACAGAGUGUCUUGUAUGAGAACAUGUGGUCCAGCCAGGUUGUUUAUGCCUUACAUGACCGAAUCACUCUUCCUCCUAGUGAUCCGGCCACACCUGAUAGAAAGCAUGUAAAUAUAAAGAGUCAUAAUAUAAAGAGUCACAUGUCCUACGACAUAAAAAUAUACAAAAAUAAACAACCAAAUCACUCUCCCCAACCCUUACCGCCUCCCCUACGACCUCCUCUAGGUCCAACUCUGCCACCACGAGCGUCGUCUGCACGAGCUCUACCUCCACGAGCGCCCUCUCCACGGGCUCUGCCUCCAUGGGCUUUGCCUCAACGACCUCUGUAUCCCCCAGCUUCGGCUCCUCGAACAGCAGCAAAGGCAACUCCCUAGGUACCAAUGAAGGCACUCGAUCUAAAAAGUUUAAGCUCCCUCUCAGUGAGGGAUCGGGCCUGUGUGCCUACUGCGAGCGCAUCUGGCACCUCUAGUGACUGCUCCAACAUCUCCACACCCCGACGCAUAGCAGACUGCAAAAAAUAAAUACAUGCUUAGGUACAAAGAAAAUCUCAUGAACAAAAAUCACAAUUGAAUGGAAAAUAGAAUUCAAACUUACCACAACACUGAGCUCCUCCCUCCUAUCAUCAGGGAUGAUGAACCGAUGGGACACAAGGCUAUACCACCUCAGGUAAUGAUGACCCUAGUUUAGUAGUGUUUUUAGGGUCAUUUCUUUGUUUGUUUUAAGUCUUUUUAUCGAGUCUCAUGUAGUGUCUCAUGCAUUCUCAUGCAUUUUUAUCUUUCUUUGAUUCUUUACUUUGUUUUGGUAAUUUUGUAGUUUUAUAGGGACUUUUCUCGCAUUUUAAAUAAGUUUAGGACUAGCAUGGUUUUAUUGUGUUAAUUGAAGGAUCUCUUGUGCUAAUAAGCUCUUUGAGCUUCUGGAAUUUUCCUUGGCUUGUUGGUUAAGUUUGCAGAUCUGAAACUGAAGGUGAAAGAAGGCCAAGAAGCAUGGAAUUGAAGGAGGACUUAAAGAGGCUUGAAAGAGGAGUUACAAGAAACUAAACAGUCUUUUCCAGCGAGCUUAAGCGCCUAGGCGCUGGGAAUUGGCGCCUAGGCGCUAAUUGACCUCCAGAGAGCAUGUUUUUGGCUGGAAUUGGCGCUCAGGCGCUCUGAAUUGGCGCCUGAGCGCCCAGACUCGCCUGUUUUGCCUAUAAAUUGGUUUUUAGACAUUUCUCUUGGAACCUUUUGUCAUUUUAUCAUAUUUUCAUAAGUUAGAAGAGAGGGUUUGAGUUAUGGAGCUUGAGGAGCUUUCUCUAAGCCCUAUGUUUCAGGUUUCAUCUUUAUCAUCUUGGAUGGAUUUCAUAGCCAUGUUUGGCUAAACCCCUUUUGUUUUGGGUUCUUUGUAAGACUUAAGAUGUUUUAACCUU